GCCAGGGAUAGAUUCAUUGGCAGAACAGGAGACUGUUAAUCUCACAGUUGUGGGUUCGAGUCCCAUGUCGGGCA